rnacentral:lncRNA from 1 species
UAUCUGUUCAAUCUACUCUCUCAUCAGAAGAACUGUUAAAAUAGCACAUAUAUUUACUUAACCAAAGCACUUCAAGAAAUCUGUAUAUAGUAUCCUCACAGUGUUCAAGAGGCUUUUCUUUUUUCUCCAGUCAACUAGAUUACAUCAUGCAAUGAUUUUGCUCUUUGACGGUCUUCAGGACUUACAAGAUUUUCCCCAAGUAUGAGAGUUUCUUAUUAACAGCUCUUAUCUUCUUGCCAGAUCUGGACACCAGCAGUGAAACCCCCAAUAAUCCAGUGCAGAAAAUAAGAGCUGCAGAUUGGAAUGGCUCUCAGAGUAAAAAUAACUGAUUUAUUGUUCUUUUUUUUUCACAUAUAUUACAGUGUUCUCGCAUAUUAUUGCAAUUAUUUCUCAUACAUUAUUUCCAAUAAUUCAUUAUUCAGUUCUUUAUACUUAUUAUCUCUUCAGUCAUUUACUUCAAAUACAAUAGGUUCAGUGACACGUUUGGUUAAAGUCAUUCAUUCCAAAAGACAGAUUGGAAAACAAGAUCUUAGUGCUUAUGAGGAUUUGGGACUAGUAGAUAUGGACGUUUGUGAGACUCAGAAGAGGCCAUUUCAUGUUACCAGAUGUGUUAAAAUAACAAUCUCAAAUAUGUUUAUUUAAGAAUCAAAGUUAGUUCAUUAUUUUGGGUUUGCUUUAGUAAGUAGGACUUAAAGCAAACCAGUCUGCUUAUUUUGACUGAUGUAUUCAACUUUUCUCUCUCCUUGUGAGAGAACAGAGGGUAAUCAUGCUGCAGUAAUGCCAAGCAAGGUCAACCAAAAUGCUUUCAGAGGGACUUUGCUAUGUAGAAUAUUUUGGAAUAUGAGUUUAGCCAAUAUUUACUUUCAACUUUAAAAGUGCCUGUCCUCAAUCAAAUACUUACCCAGAUAAUUAUAAAUACAGCAAAAAUAUAAAUAAUGACAAAGCCUUUCAGACUAAGCCAGAUUCUAAAACCUAAGAGACCAACAAGAAGACAGAAGUUUUCCAGCAGUUGUAUGACUUGCUUUGUUUCUAUGCAGUCUUUUUUUCCUGCCUGAAAGCAACCACAGUAAGUGUCCAACUGUCCUUCACCUUUCUCAACCAGACAAGCUGCAAACUGUUUUUUAUCACUGCACUUGGGGUGAUACAUAUUGGGGGUGAAGAAAAUUUGAGGCAAGGAGGCAAUAGAAGAGUUCUCAAUUUGAAGAGCACUCAAUGCACUCAAUUUUUAUUUUUUAUUUUUAUCAACUGGAAGUCACUUUCCUCUUUGGAAAAAGAACUUCUUUGAUCAUCCCCUGCCAAUCUGCAGAGAUGUGGUGUGAAAAUAGCGUACACCACCACUGUGCCUGUCUCUCUCCCUUUGAGUCUGUGUUCCAAACAUCUACAGACAUUGUGCUGAAAAUUUAUAUUGUUGAGCUGCACUGAAGAGACCAGGACUUGAAAAUUGGUUCCAGUUUCCACGGAGGCUAAUAUAUUUAUGCACUCCCAUCUUUCAGAAUGCUGAACAGUUCCAACAUGCAACAAUCUUACAUCAGAAAUAUGCCACCACUGGGAUAGACAUCUUUUCUUGAACCAUGUCCUCAUAUCAUCAGACAACUGAAAAGGAUUUCUGUCAUCAACACCUCCAUUGGCUCCAACAAAAUCCUAAUGAGUGCCAGAUGCCCUCAACUCCAGUCUAAAGCCCACUUAGCGACAUUUCUGCAGUUGCUGAAGCCAAUCCUUCUGGGGAGGAAACAAGGGAUGCUGUGCUUCGCAGAGCUAGGCAGCACUUCUGUGGGUGACCCAGCUGUGACUAGCAGCACUGUCAGCUCACAUGUUUCAAAUUGGUAUUGCUGCAUCAGCUGCAAGCAGAGCUGUUGUGUGCAGACAGGGUGGCCUCCACAUGAACAGCAGGAGCAUCCCGAGGACUAAUAAAAAACACCAAAAAAAAAAAAAAAUCUGUUUCUACAAGUGGUUGAGUGCUAACAGCUUCGUUUGAGCCUCAUAAACUGAGAACAUGGAAUUUGAUAAAAGAUUAAAAAGUGCUGCCAAAAGGCAAGGUAUGCUUAGGGCUUGGAGCCAUGUUUGUACAGAGCUGGCUCGGAGCUGACUCAGAUCUGAAGAGCUGAAGGUGCAUGAC